rnacentral:rRNA from 1 species
UACGUAGGGCGCAAGCGUUGUCCGGAAUUAUUGGGCGUAAAGAGCGCGCAGGCGGCCAAGUCAAUCGAAUGUGAAAGCCCCCGGCUUAACUGGGGAGGGUCAUUCGAUACUGCUUGGCUCGAAGACAGGAGAGGGAAGCGGAAUUCCCGGUGUAGUGGUGAAAUGCGUAGAUAUCGGGAGGAACACCAGUGGCGAAGGCGGCUUUCUGGCCUGUUCUUGACGCUGAGGCGCGAAAGCUAAGGGAGCAAACGGG